GUCCCUUCCCGGCUCCGGUGCCCGCCACCCCCACAGUCCUCCGCCACUCACUACGCGCCUCUGGAUCCCUGCGGCCGAAAUAUCGCGAGACUUCGCUCGGGGCAGCUGCUACUGUGGUAAAGAAUUCACUUUUUUACCACAGCGUGCGUAUCAGCAAGUGAACAUAAAAACGCCUCUUCUAGUCAGAAACUGGCCAAUCCCGACCCCCGGUCCACCUAGGGCUCCGCCCACCACCGAGAAUAAGCCAAUCUCUUUGAGGCUUCUACAGGAGAACGCCGUGCGUUUGAGCUUGAACCUGAUAAGCCUGGCAGAAGCCUGAUGAACCCAGAAUGAGUGAGAUGUGGUCUGUCUUAGACUCUACCAAGGAAAAUUACUCGUGAGGUGAUCCUGAAGAAAGGUACAUGGUCCCACUCACAAUGAGUUCCCUACUGGGGCCCUGCAAAGGGUAUUAAUGGUGAAG
rnacentral:lncRNA from 1 species